GGAUGUUGGCUUAGAAGCAGCCAUCAUUUAAAGAAAGCGUAAUAGCUCACUGGUCGAGUCGGCCUGCGCGGAAGAUGUAACGGGGCUAAACCAUGCACCGAAGCUGCGGCAGCGACGCUGAUGCGUUGUUGGGUAGGGGAGCGUUCUGUAAGCCUGUGAAGGUGUGCUGUGAGGCAUGCUGGAGGUAUCAGAAGUGCGAAUGCUGACAUAAGUAACGAUAAAGCGGGUGAAAAGCCCGCUCGCCGGAAGACCAAGGGUUCCUGUCCAACGUUAAUCGGGGCAGGGUGAGUCGACCCCUAAGGCGAGGCCGAAAGGCGUAGUCGAUGGGAAACAGGUUAAUAUUCCUGUACUUGGUGUUACUGCGAAGGGGGGACGGAGAAGGCUAUGUUGGCCGGGCGACGGUUGUCCCGGUUUAAGCGUGUAGGCUGGUUUUCCAGGCAAAUCCGGAAAAUCAAGGCUGAGGCGUGAUGACGAGGCACUACGGUGCUGAAGCAACAAAUGCCCUGCUUCCAGGAAAAGCCUCUAAGCAUCAGGUAACAUCAAAUCGUACCCCAAACCGACACAGGUGGUCAGGUAGAGAAUACCAAGGCGCUUGAGAGAACUCGGGUGAAGGAACUAGGCAAAAUGGUGCCGUAACUUCGGGAGAAGGCACGCUGAUAUGUAGGUGAAGCGACUUGCUCGUGGAGCUGAAAUCAGUCGAAGAUACCAGCUGGCUGCAACUGUUUAUUAAAAACACAGCACUGUGCAAACACGAAAGUGGACGUAUACGGUGUGACGCCUGCCCGGUGCCGGAAGGUUAAUUGAUGGGGUUAGCGCAAGCGAAGCUCUUGAUCGAAGCCCCGGUAAACGGCGGCCGUAACUAUAACGGUCCUAAGGUAGCGAAAUUCCUUGUCGGGUAAGUUCCGACCUGCACGAAUGGCGUAAUGAUGGCCAGGCUGUCUCCACCCGAGACUCAGUGAAAUUGAACUCGCUGUGAAGAUGCAGUGUACCCGCGGCAAGACGGAAAGACCCCGUGAACCUUUACUAUAGCUUGACACUGAACAUUGAGCCUUGAUGUGUAGGAUAGGUGGGAGGCUU
rnacentral:rRNA from 1 species